UACGAAGGGGGCUAGCGUUGCUCGGAAUCACUGGGCGUAAAGCGCACGUAGGCGGCUUCUUAAGUCAGGGGUGAAAUCCUGGAGCUCAACUCCGGAACUGCCUUUAAGACUGCAUCGCUUGAAUCAUGGAGAGGUCAGUGGAAUUCCGAGUGUAGAGGUGAAAUUCGUAGAUAUUCGGAAGAACACCAGUGGCGAAGGCGACUGACUGGACAUGUAUUGACGCUGAGGUGCGAAAGCGUGGGGAGCAAACAGG
rnacentral:rRNA from 1 species